GGGAANUACGAGCCAAGCUUAAAACCCAAAGGACUUGACGGUACCCCAUAUCCCCCUAGAGGAGCCUGUCCUAUAAUCGAUAACCCCCGUUCAACCUCACCAUUUCUAGCACUCAGCCUGUAUACCUCCGUCGUCAGCUUACCACGUGAGCGCUAGUGAGCUCAAUGUUUUUUCAACUAAACGUCAGGUCAAGGUGCAACACAUGAAAUGGGAAGAGAUGGGCUACACUUUCUAACAUAGACCACACGGAAGACUAACUAUGAAAUCUAGUCAGAAGGCG
rnacentral:rRNA from 1 species